CAUUCCCAAAGUGGCACACCUAAAUUUGACAUUUGGACGCAAUUUCAAAGUUGGAUGUUAUAUGACGGGGUUUUGUUAAUUAUUUUUUGAAUCGAACACACCCGUCCUAUAUAUGUAACAUCACAUGACUUUUAAGUGAUUAAAACUAAUUUUUUUAAAUAAUAUUUGCAUGUUUGACAUGUUUUUUUUCUUAACAAUUACAAUUACACCGAC
rnacentral:lncRNA from 1 species